CUCACAAAAAUUUCUUUUCUCUCAAUAAACACACUCUCUCUCUAGCUCUCUCUCUCCAAAACCAAAACAGUCUCCCUCUCUACUCUCCAUUGCUGCAAUUAUUUUUCUCCAUGAGCUUAGCACACUCAUUUCCCCAUUGAAGGAGGGAGAAGCUCAAGAGAACACUUGCGUAGAGGUUCAAGAGAAGCAUGUACGAGUAGGAUCUCAAGGAUUUAAUACUUUGGUAUUUAAGUGAAAGCAAGAGCACAAGGGGGAGUUUGAGGAAACUAAGAAAAACACAUCUCCAAGCUAUAACUAUCAAAGUAACCGCGAAAAACGAAAACGAAUAACGGUGGUAAAGAUCCAGUUGGGAACUAAGGACUCCAAGUAAGUGCAAAAUCAAACUGGAGUAGUGAACGUCGACGUCUGCUUGUGGAUAUGUACAUGUGGCCUAACCUACGGAGGUUUUUGAUUGAUCACCAUUUUGAAAAGAAAAAUCUGGAAGUUUGUUAUUUCUUUUGGGAUAAUUGUUUUGUUAUAACUCUAUGGAAUAAUAGUUGUAUUUUUGUUUGCUAAACUAAAAGUGUGCGCACACGAUCUUUUUAAAAGUUUCUUUAUAUGGAUUUUUGGUACAAUGAGUUAAAAGUAAAAAAGUUUAA